rnacentral:rRNA from 1 species
CCUACGGGGGGCAGCAGUGGGGAAUAUUGCGCAAUGGGCGAAAGCCUGACGCAGCGACACCGCGUGAGGGAUGAAGGUCUUCGGAUCGUAAACCUCUGUCAGCAGGGAAGAACGGUCACUGUGCUAAUCAGCAGUGAAUUGACGGUACCUGCAAAGGAAGCACCGGCUAACUCCGUGCCAGCAGCCGCGGUAAUACGGAGGGUGCGAGCGUUAAUCGGAAUUACUGGGAGUAAAGCGCUCGUAGGCGGUAUGUCAAGUCAAGGGUGAAAUCCCCGCGCUCAACGUGGGAACUGCCGUUGAAACUGGCAAACUGGAGUGUGUGAGAGGAUAGUGGAAUUCUAGGUGUAGGAGUGAAAUCCGUAGAUAUCUGGAGGAACAUCAGUGGCGAAGGCGACUAGCUGGAACAUAACUGACGCUGAGGAGCGAAAGCGUGGGUAGCAAACAGGAUUAGAUACCCGAGUAGUC